GACGAACGCUGGCGGCGUGCUUAACACAUGCAGGUCGAACGAAGUGGCGAACGGGUGAGUAAUACGUGGGUAACCUGCCCUCCUUUUUGGGAUAAGCCUUGGAAACGGGGUCUAAUACCGAAUAAAGGGGGUUGGGCUCGCGGCCUAUCAGCUUGUUGGUGGGGUGAUGGCCUACCAAGGCGGUGACGGGUAGCCGGCCUGUGAGGGUGUCCGGCCAGAUUAGGACUAAGAUAAGGCCCAGACUCAUAAGGGGUGCAGCGUUGGGGGUGAUUGCACAGUGGGCGGAAGCGUGAAGCAGCGACGCCGCGUGGGGGAUGGAGACAUUGGGGUUGUAAACCUCUUUCGCAAUCGAACGGAUAGGUGGAUAAGAGGCGCCGGCUAACUACGUGCCAGCAGCCGCGGUAAUAG
rnacentral:rRNA from 1 species